UACGUAGGCAGCAAGCGUUGUUCGGAGUUACUGGGCGUAAAGAGUGCGUAGGCGGUGUCGAAAGUUUGGCGUGAAAUCUCCUGGCUCAACUGGGAGCUUGCAGGCGAAACUGCCGUGCUGGAGUGUGGGAGAGGUGCGUGGAAUUCCUGGUGUAGCGGUGAAAUGCGUAGAUAUCAGGAGGAACACCUGUGGCGAAAGCGGCGCACUGGACCACAACUGACGCUGAGGCGCGAAAGCUAGGGGAGCAAACAGG
rnacentral:rRNA from 1 species